rnacentral:rRNA from 1 species
AUCUGGCUCAGGAUGAACGCUAGCGGCAGGCUUAACACAUGCAAGGUCGAGGGGGCAUCGGGAGUAGCAAUACGUUGCCGGCGACCGGCGCAAGGGUGCGUAACGCGUGAGCAACAUGCCCGUAUCAGGGGGAUAAUCCAUGGAAACGUGGUCUAAUACCCCAUAGUAAUUAUGUAAGGCAUCUUAUAUAAUUUAAAGCUUUGGUGGAUACGGAUUGGCUCGCGUGACAUUAGCUAGAUGGUAAGGUAACGGCUUACCAUGGCUACGAUGUCUAGGGGUUCUGAGAGGAAGGCCCCCCACACUGGAACUGAGACACGGUCCAGACUCCUACGGGAGGCAGCAGUGAGGAAUACUGGACAAUGGAUGGAAAUCUGAUCCAGCCAUGCCGCGUGCAAGGAAGACGGCCCUAUGGGUUGUAAACUGCUUUUGUAUGGGAGCAAUAAGGGCUACGCGUAGUCCGAUGAGAGUACCAUACGAAUAAGCACCGGCUAACUCCGUGCCAGCCGCCGC